AAGGCCUUAGCUUAAUUAAAGUGUUUGGGUUGCAUUCAGAAGAUGUAUAUUAGGUUAUACAGGUCUUA
rnacentral:tRNA from 1 species